GAGAGAGAGAGAGAGAGAGAAUACAAAUGACAAUAAUUAUUAGUGAAAAACAUAAUAAAUAAAUAAAUAAAUAAAUAAAUAAAUAAAUAAAUAAAUAAAUAAAGGUGAAACAAAAAUAAAAAUAAAAGUUUCUUGUUUAUUGAAGUAAUAUAAUAAUUUGUGUAGGUUUUUGGUACACACACACACACACACACACACACACACACACACACACACACACACACACACACACACACACACGCACACACACACACACGAACUAACACCUGUAUCCAUUACACCUGUAGGGAGGAAGUGACGGAGACAAAGAA